rnacentral:lncRNA from 1 species
GAGGACUUUCCAAGUGUAAAUACCUUGUUUGCCUAACCCCUGACAUAGGGCUGGACAUUGGCUGCUGAUGGAAGAUGAAGUAAUGGGAAAGGGGCAGUGGGGCACUGCGUGGGAACUAGAGGAACAAAGCUAGAUUGUGAAGUAGAUGAGCAGCAACCUGCAAUUUCUGUGACAAGACAGCUAACAAAUGAAGCCGUCACCGCGUCUGAUGGUCACACAAAGAUGAAUACAAAGAGGUCUUCA